GAAACAAAUACCCCAAGAUGGGCAUGAAACUUGCCAGGUACUCACAGGUGUAAUAUGAAACAAAUACCCCAAGAUGGGCAUGAAACUUGCCAGGUACUCACAGGUGUAAUAUGAAACAAAUACCCCAAGAUGGGCAUGAAACUUGCCAGGUACUCACAGGUGUAAUAUGAAACAAAUACCCCAAGAUGGGCAUGAAACUUGCCAGGUACUCACAGGUGUAAUAUGAAACAAAUACCCCAAGAUGGGCAUGAAACUUGCCAGGUACUCACAGUUGUAAUCAGGAUCU